rnacentral:lncRNA from 1 species
GAUACUGCUGAGUCAGUGUCAGAUUUGUUCAAACCAAAUACAGAUGAACACAUAAAUAGCCAACUGCAGAUUUGCUCAAACCAAAUACAGAUGAACACAUAAAUAGCCAACUGCAUUACAUUCAAUGAUUCAAGCAUUGAUAUCCAUGUAUACACAGUCUCAGCUCCAGAACAAAUAAGGACAUGCAUAGUGGCAUCAGCUGCAAAUUUCAAGCAUAUAGCAAUUUAAACAAAGAAUAUAGCAUUAGCUAAAGUUGCAAUGGUGCAAAGCGUCCAACACUAAAGAAAUGCAUUCUGUUCAGUCACUUGAUUGAGACACAAGCAAGCUUUAUGGGAGCGAGUGGAGUACAAUCGAAAGCAGCCACUACCACAUUUACAACAUUUUUACAUAUAAAGACCAUACCUUUUAAGCUCCAAACAACUUAUCAGCCAAUCAUAACCAGUUUGGUACGGAGUACAAUAGAUUCGAAACUGAUGUAACUGAA